UGGGGAAUAUUGCACAAUGGGCGAAAGCCUGAUGCAGCAACGCCGCGUGCGGGAUGAAGGCCUUCGGGUUGUAAACCGCUUUCGCCAGGGGCGAAUACCAGACGGUACCUGGAGAAGAAGCACCGGCUAACUACGUGCCAGCAGCCGCGGUGAUACGUAGGGUGCGAGCGUUGUCCGGAUUUAUUGGGCGUAAAGGGCUCGUAGGUGGUUUGUUGCGUCGGAAGUGAAAACCUGCAGCUUAACUGUGGGCUUGCUUUCGAUACGGGCAGACUUGAGGAAGGUAGGGGAGAACGGAAUUCCUGGUGGAGCGGUGGAAUGCGCAGAUAUCAGGAGGAACACCGGUGGCGAAGGCGGUUCUCUGGACCUUUCCUGACGCUGAGGAGCGAAAGCGUGGGGAGCAAACAGG
rnacentral:rRNA from 1 species